rnacentral:rRNA from 1 species
GACGAACGCUGGCGGCGCGCUUAACACAUGCAAGUCGAGCGAUGAAAUCUUAACAGACCCCUUCGGGGUGAAGAUAAGACGGAUUAGCGGCGGACGGGUGAGUAACACGUGAGUAACCUGCCUUUUACACAGGGAUAGCCUCAGGAAACCGGGAUUAAAACCUGAUGAAACUCUCAAAUCACAUGAUUAAGAAAGUUAAAACUCCGGUGGUAAAAGAUGGACUCGCGUCCCAUUAGCUAGUUGGUGAAGGUAACGGCCCACCAAGGCAACGAUGGGUAGCCGGCCUGAGAGGGUGAACGGCCACAUUGGAACUGAGAAACGGUCCAAACUCCUACGGGAGGCAGCAGUGGGGAAUAUUGCACAAUGGGGGAAACCCUGAUGCAGCGACGCCGCGUGAGCGAAGAAGGCCUUCGGGUCGUAAAGCUCUUUUAUAUGGGAAGAUAAUGACGGUACCAUAAGAAAAAGCCCCGGCUAACUACGUG